rnacentral:lncRNA from 1 species
AAAAGGACAUUUAAUGUCAAGGCAUGGAAAAUUCCGGAGAAUUCUCUUGGCUGCACUGCACAGAAUCUUCUUCCCCAGUGGAGCAGGCAAGUUCCGGCUGGAGAAGGCAGGUCAAGGACUGCGAAGCCCUUGUGCCUGGCCUCCUCCAGCUCCUCCACCAUGUGCUGCUGGUGGACUCCUCCCAGCGAUCUGAGUGGGCUUCCUUUCAGGCUCCCAGCCGAUGACAUAUACCUCACAUUCAGAUUACACAUUUUUCUUUAAAAAAUGUAUUUAGUGGUCCCUGCAGUCAUUUAUUCGGCCUUCUUAAAUCCAUCUAGAAUAAUAACAUAACUUUUUGAUUCAGGAGUCAUUUCAGAAACGUGGGGUAUCCAUUCCCAAGGAGUCUCUUUUAUCUCCUAACGUCCUCGAAUCCAGUCCCUUCUUUCCAUCCUCACUGCCACUUCCCCCGGCAGCAUUUCGUGCCUGGAUUAUGCAACCUCUCUCCGGUGGUUUAUCUGAGUCUGCUUUUGGUGUCUCUGGUCUAUUCUCUACACAACAGCCACAGAGGAGUUCCCUGGUGGCCUAGCAGUGAAGGGUUCAGGGUUGUCACUGCUGUGGCUUGGGUUCGAGUUCAGGCUUGGGGACUUCCACAUGCCACAGGCACCGCUAAAACAUAAACAAACAACGCCAAGGAAACAGCCAAAGAGUCAAAUGCAUAAAUCAGAUUCCCGCACUCCCAGCACAAAACCCUUCAAGGGCUCUCCAUUGCACUCAGAAAAAGCCAACCCGUUAGGUAAAUCGUUUUAAGGAUCUGUUUGGCCUUUGUCGACCUCUGACCCUUCAUCUCCCUCCACUUUGCUCCUUCAAGUUUCGCUUUUUGUCACUUCCUAGAACGGCCCCCAGUCGCUCGCUUCGGGGUCUCCUCACUUCAUGCUUCGGUGAGAGUGGAGGUGGGCAAGCAUUCAAAGUGCAUUUCCAGAUCGCGCUCUCCAUGUCCAGAUCGGACUCCUCGCGGCCUCCGUGCGCCGCUAAAAACCACAUUCUGGGGCGGUCAGCGGGAAAGGGAGGGAACCCACCCGGGAGGAAACCCACUUGGCGGACCCGGGGUCCGGAAACCCAUUGCUUACUGGGACCUUUCCACGCAGGAAGAG